rnacentral:ncRNA from 1 species
ACAAAUGCGAGGAUAAGAUAAGUACAGAUGAUGAGUUUCACAGAGAGCUUCGGGUGGUGAGAAGAAGUAGACAAGGGCGUCUGGAAAAUGGUCUUUGAGCAAGGAACUGUAAGUUUUUGACAAGCAGUUGACGGGUGUGCCCGUUACAGCACAGUAGUAUGAACACGUACUACAAUGAGGUCAGAUGAAAUAUCUGAUGAAUAAAGGUGGUAACACGGAAGCUUGUGCUCCCGUCCUUAUU